rnacentral:rRNA from 1 species
UACGUAGGGUGCGAGCGUUAAUCGGAAUUACUGGGCGUAAAGCGUGCGCAGGCGGCGCGCUAAGCCAGAGGUGAAAUCCCCGGGCUCAACCUGGGAAUGGCCUUUGGGACUGGUGUGCUCGAGUGCGGCAGAGGGGGGUGGAAUUCCUGGUGUAGCAGUGAAAUGCGUAGAGAUCAGGAGGAACACCGAUGGCGAAGGCAGCCCCCUGGGCCAGCACUGACGCUCAGGCACGAAAGCGUGGGGAGCAAACAGG